rnacentral:sRNA from 12 species
CCUUGACAGUCGCAUAGGGCGGCUGACAUUAGCCUAGACAAGGAGUUCCUCAUG